GUGGGGAAUUGUUCGCAAUGGGCGCAAGCCUGACGACGCAACGCCGCGUGGAGGAUGAAGAUUCUCGGAUCGUAAACUCCUGUCGAGCGGGACGAACGGCUCGCGACUGAACAGGUCGCGGGAGUGACGGUACCGCUAAAGGAAGCCCCGGCUAACUCCGUGCCAGCAGCCGCGGUAAUACGGGGGGGGCAAGCGUUGUUCGGAAUUACUGGGCGUAAAGGGCUCGUAGGCGGCCGGCUUAGUCAGACGUGAAAUCCCUCGGCUCAACCGGGGAACUGCGUCUGAUACUGGCUGGCUAGAAUCCGGGAGAGGGAUGCGGAAUUCCAGGUGUAGCGGUGAAAUGCGUAGAUAUCUGGAGGAACACCGGUGGCGAAGGCGGCAUCCUGGACCGGUUUUGACGCUGAGGAGCGAAAGCCAGGGGAGCAAACGGGAUUAGAAACCCCGGUAGUCC
rnacentral:rRNA from 1 species